rnacentral:rRNA from 1 species
GUAUACGUAGUGCAGCGUAUCGAUUAUUGGCGUAAAGCGGGGCGUAGCGUUUUUAGUCUGAUGUGAAGCCCACGCUCCACGUGAGGUCAUGAAACUGAAACUGAGUGCAGAGAGAAAGUGAUCCAUGUGUAGCGUGAAAUGCGCAGAGAUAUGAGAACACAGUGGCGAGCGACUUUCUGGUCUGUAACUGACGCUGAUGUGCGAAAGCGUGGGGAUCAAACAGGAUUAGAUACCUGGUAGUCCACGCGUAAACGAUGAGUGCUAAGUGUUAGGGGGUUUCCGCCCCUUUAGUGCUGCAGCUAACGCAUUAAGCACUCCGCCUGGGGAGUACGACCGCAAGGUUGAAACUCAAAGGAAUUGACGGGGACCCGCACAAGCGGUGGAGCAUGUGGUUUAAUUGGAAGCAACGCGAAGAACCUUACCAAAUCUUGACAUCUUCUGACCCCUCUAGAGAUAGAGUUUUCCCCUUCGGGGGACAGAGUGACAGGUGGUGCAUGGUUGUCGUCAGCUCGUGUCGUGAGAUGUUGGGUUAAGUCCCGCAACGAGCGCAACCCUUAAGCUUAGUUGCCAUCAUUAAGUUGGGCACUCUAAGUUGACUGCCGGUGACAAACCGGAGGAAGGUGGGGAUGACGUCAAAUCAUCAUGCCCCUUAUGAUUUGGGCUACACACGUGCUACAAUGGACAAUACAAAGGGCAGCGAAACCGCGAGGUCAAGCAAAUCCCAUAAAGUUGUUCUCAGUUCGGAUUGUAGUCUGCAACUCGACUAUAUGAAGCUGAAUCGC